rnacentral:rRNA from 1 species
GUUGAACGCUGGCGGCAUGCUUUACACAUGCAAGUCGAACGGUAACAGGCCUUCGGGUGCUGACGAGUGGCGAACGGGUGCGUAAUGCAUCGGAACGUACCCAGAGGUGGGGGAUAACGCAGCGAAAGCUGUGCUAAUACCGCAUGUGAUCUGAGGAUGAAAGCGGGGGACCGAGCAGCAAUGUUUGGCCUCGCGCCUUUGGAGCGGCCGAUGUCGGAUUAGCUAGUUGGUGGGGUAAAGGCCUACCAAGGCGACGAUCCGUAGCUGGUCUGAGAGGACGACCAGCCACACUGGGACUGAGACACGGCCCAGACUCCUACGGGAGGCAGCAGUGGGGAAUUUUGGACAAUGGGCGCAAGCCUGAUCCAGCAAUGCCGCGUGCGGGAAGAAGGCCUUCGGGUUGUAAACCGCUUUUGGCAGGAACGAAACGGUGUCCGCUAAUACCGGGCGCUAAUGACGGUACCUGCAGAAUAAGCACCGGCUAACUACGUG